UAUGCAAAAAAAAACAACAACACUGCGGUCAAGACCUUUAGUGUAAAAAAAGAUGUAUCUUUUUAAACUUUAGAUCCAGACUCGUUUGUACAAUUUUCAUUAUUUGAUUUAAGUGCACAUAAAUGAGUUCACCACACUUAUCACAGAGAAAACAAAACUAGUACAACCAUGUUGAUCCGAACAUUCCACAAACACAAAGACUCAAUUGUUUAGAAGCUCAAAUCCUGGUCGCACUCCGAACCGUUAAUCAACUCUAUUUGGAGUCCAGCAAUAUUUGUAUUUUUUACAAAUUGAUGAACCUUCCCAUUCCAUACCCCAUUUGGCAACUGUUUUGACUAAUUUUAAUGGUUUUACUUCAUAGAGAUAAAAUACAUUUGGUGCUUAUACAGAGUAUAAGCGAGGACAUUUUUGAAGCCCAAAGUUAGUGCACCAAAACAAUGGAAAAUAUAGUUAUUUAUACUAAAUUAGUCACUCCAGAUCUUGUACGGAAUCAUCCUAUAUUUCUAUUAAAACCAAA
rnacentral:lncRNA from 1 species